rnacentral:rRNA from 1 species
UACGAAGGGUGCUAGCGUUGCUCGGAAUUACUGGGCGUAAAGAGCGCGUAGGCGGUUAUACAAGUCAGGGGUGAAAUCCCAGAGCUUAACUCUGGAACUGCCUUUGAAACUGUAUAGCUGGAGUGUGUGAGGGGAUAGCGGAAUUCUUAAUGUAGAGGUGAAAUUCGUAGAUAUUAAGAGGAACACCGAUGGCGAAGGCAGCCCCCUGGGCUGACACUGACGCUCAGGCACGAAAGCGUGGGGAGCAAACAGG